GGUCACGGCCCUCAGUUGCAGCUGCAGUUGCUACCGCAAAAUGCUGCUCCAUAAGCCCUUGGAGCUGCUCGAAUCGACUCUCCUGGCGCUGUACAAUGCCGGUCAAGGCCGACACCUGCGCCCGUAACUCCCGUACUUCACUAGAUCCGGCUUCCUCGGGCACCUCAGGAGAUGGUGCCGGAACGGACCUACGCACGUAGCGUCUUGGGGACAUUGUUCCUGCAACGCAACAACCAGGUUAGUCAUCUAACCCACUCAACUUCGUCG
rnacentral:lncRNA from 1 species